CCUGAUCCAGCCAUGCCGCGUGAGUGAAGAAGGCCUUCGGGUUGUAAAGCUCUUUCGGCCGGGAAGAAAUCGCAUGGGUUAAUACCCUGUGUGGAUGACGGUACCGGAAUAAGAAGCACCGGCUUACUACGUGCCAGCAGCCGCGGUAAUACGUAGGGUGCGAGCGUUAAUCGGAAUUACUGGGCGUAAAGCGUGCGCAGGCGGUUUUGUAAGACAGGCGUGAAAUCCCCGGGCUUAACCUGGGAACUGCGUUUGUGACUGCAAGACUAGAGUACGGCAGAGGGGGNUGGAAUUCCACGUGUAGCAGUGAAAUGCGUAGAGAUGUGGAGGAACACCAAUGGCGAAGGCAGCCCCCUGGGUCGAUACUGACGCUCAUGCACGAAAGCGUGGGUAGCAAACAGGAUUAGAUACCCUGGUAGUCCACGCCCUAAACUAUGUCAACUAGGUGUUGGGUGGGUAAAACCAUUUAGUACCGUAGCUAACGCGUGAAGUUGACCGCCUGGGGAGUACGGCCGCAAGGUUAAAACUCAAAGGAAUUGACGGGG
rnacentral:rRNA from 1 species